rnacentral:lncRNA from 1 species
UUGCAACAGAAUUUGACAUAAAGGACCUUGGAUCCCUAAGAUACUUUCUAGGCAUGGAAGUGGCAAGAAAUAACACAGGCAUAUCUGUUUCUCAAAGGAAAUAUGUUAUAGACCUUUUGAAAGAAACAUGAAUGAUAGGUUGUAAGCCUGUAGACACACCAAUGGAUGCAAAUUUGAAAUUAGGAGACUUGAAGGACAGUACUCCUGCUGAGAGAGGGAGAUAUCAGCGACUUGUUGGGAAACUCAUCUAUCUUUCCCACACUAGACCUGAUAUUGCUUUUGCGGUUAGUGUUGUAAGUCAAUUCAUGCAUGCUCCAUGCGAGGAACAUAUGGAAGCUGUUUAUCGAAUCCUGAGAUAUCUUAAAGGAACUCCAGGAAAAGGUCUUCUCUUCAAAAAGAAUGAGGCAAGAAGUGUUGAAGCCUUCACAGACGCUGAUUGGGCUGGUUCAAUUAAGGAUAGAAGAUCUACGUCGGGCUAUUGCACAUUUGUAUGGGGGAAUUUAGUAACUUGGAGAAGUAAAAACAAUCAGUUGUGGCAAGAAGUAGUGCUGAAGCAGAGUUCAGAGCAGUAGCUCAAGGUAUCUGUGAGUUGUUAUGGCUGAAACUAUUAUUAGGGGAGCUAAAAAUCGCAGAUAUUCAACCUAUGAAACUUUAUUGUGACAAUAAGGCAGCCAUAAAUAUUUCUCAUAAUCCAGUACAUCAUGAUAGAACAAAGCAUGUUGAGGUUGACCGGCAUUUCAUCAAGGAGAAGAUAGAAGAAGGAGUAAUUUCUAUGACAUAUGUGCCUACAUCUCAACAAACUGCAGAUCUUCUUACUAAAGGAUUAGUCAAACCAGUGUUUGAAAAGUUGGUAGACAAGCUGGGAAUGUUCAAUGUUUUUUGUCCAGCUUGAGGGGGAGUGUGGCAGAAUUUGAAAAAAUAGAGUUAUCCUUAUCUGGUGGUUGUUUUACAUGAUAUGUUCUAUCUACUUAUUUUUUGUUUUUAUCCCUAGAAUAAAGGACUUUGCUAAGAUAAGACUUCUAGUCUAUGUUAGCUUCAAGCCUAUAUAUAAUCUUGUAGUUUGAUUAAUAAAGGUAAUAUGAAAGUGCAGUGUUUACUGUUUCCUUCCUAUAUUUUGUUACAGAUAUCUUCCUUUCCUAAAGACAGAAUCAUUCAGGACAUAUGCCAUGCUUGGCUGCAAUUUGAACGGGAAUUUUGUAAUAAAAUUUUUAAUGAAUUUAUGGGUUUGAUGAGUAAAAUUAGGGGUUCAUAUAGACUCACCCAUAAAUUGAACCCUUAUUAUGUUGAUGCACAACUUAAUUUAACAAAAAUAAUGUUCAAAUUGUCACAAAAUUUGAAAAAAAAAAUCAUACAGUUAAUUUUUCUUCUACUUUACUCCAUUAUUCAAUGGGCAUAUAAUAAAUUAGGAGAGGGGAGAAAUAAAGGGGAAAAUUAGAGUGAUUGUCGCAAUGAUACACUGAUACAAAUGCUUAUGUAUGUGUAGUGUGUGUGUGGGGCGUUCUUUAAUUUGAUAAAAAAUAAAUGCAGUUAUUUGUAGUUUUAAUCAAAAUCGAGGGAUAUAAACAAAAUUUUUACCACUCCAGAGUCCAGACAUGUAUCAUUAUCUGGUUAAAAAAAAAUUGCAUAAAAUUAAAAAACCACUAGUAGCUGAAAGAGAGAAACAAAUUAAGAAAGGGUUCAGAAGAUGGAACCCGAAGAGAAAACCCUAGCAACAAUCCCAGAAGAAGAAGAAGAUGGAGACACGGCCAUGCCCGACGUCAAGAACAACCCUAAACCAACAACAAAAGCCAACUCUUCGGACUCGAGCGAUGCCUCUGACUCGGACUCGGGAAGAUGAAGCAAAACAGAACAUGGAGCUUCAAACCCUAGAGUAUCAGCUAUCCAAUGAACCCUCCAAUUACGACACCUAUGCUCAAGUAACUUCAAUACACAUAUUUAUUGAGUGAUUUUGUGGAUAACCGUUUGCUUGUUCUUUCUUGGGUUGCGAUAAAAAUGGUUUUUAUCUUAUUUUUAUUUUUCAGUAAAUAAAGGUUUUGAGAAAAAUGGGUGAGAUAGAGAAAUUGAGACAAGCUAGGGAAGCCAUGAAUGAGAUUUUUCCAUUGACUCCUGCUAUGUGACAAGAAUGGGCGAGAGAUGAAGCCUCUAUUUCAACUGGGUAUCUGUCAUUUCCUAUUGCAAUGGUUUUUGAUUUUGUGAGCAAAUGUUUUUUUCGCUUAGAGAUAUAGAUGUUUAUGUUAGUUAUUUGCUAAUGUAAGAAGGAACAAAACCUGCUUAAAAGGUAUUAAAGAAAGAAAAAAGGAACCAAUUUGAAGAAGGGGAUACUUGUAGUGGGAGUUCUACUUUGGGGUUUAAUUGAUGGAAAGAAGAAAUAGCUUAUAUGUUUACAGAAUUAGACAUUUGAUCGCUCAGUUAGUUGAGGAAGAUGGUUAAUCACAAUGUCUGAUGUUGUUUCUAUUGGCCUGAGCUAGUUGUUAAGAUUUCAUACUUUCAUUCAACAAUGCAAUAGACUUUGAUUGGGUCCACCGUAGUUGGGUGUUCUAAGGAAUCAAUGAGUGUCUUGAGAAAACUUGGGUGGAGUGCUGGUCAUUUUCAGGAUUCCGUUUCCAAGAAAACAAAAAUGAAGUUGUAGUCUUUUCCUACAGUUUCUUGACAAUCAAACAGCUCAGGAUUAAGUGUUUACUUUUGGUGUAAUUAUUCACUCUAACUCGAAUAAUACUUAGGUUUAGUGCUAACAAAAUAGGAAGUGAAUUAAUAUCUGAAGCUGACUUAGGAGUGGAAUGAAUGUUACCAAAAAUAUACUAUAUGGUAGAUAGAAUUUGCCUUUUAGGUAAGACAAAAAUAAUUACAGCUGUUAAUUUAUUUCAAUAAGUUCGUACAUCAUUCAAUAAUAAGUCCAAGAUUUUAAUGGUUUUGUUUCCUGAAAAUUUGUCACAAGUGCAUGAACAAAGUUCUAUGGAUGAACUUCUCUUAGUUAAUUUGAGUUCAAUGUCGCAGUUCCUCAUAUUAACUAUAUAAAACACUAAUCUUGCUCUUUACUUUGGAGCAUUUUAAUAAAAUUGAUGCUAAUUCCUUAGCCAUUUUAUUCAUCUUGUGCAUAAAUUAUGCAAUCAAUAAGCCAACUCAACUUUCAUCUUUAUUUAGUGAAAAAUUUGCAAGGCCACUAGGAGGUUUUUGUAUGUCUCAUGCUAACAUGGACGCCAUGGUUUCACUAUGUAAAUUUUCCCUACUGAAAUUCAUGAUCCCUCAAAUACCACUCAUCACUCAUGAAGCUGUUUCUGGGACUUUAAAAGCGCCAAAUUUUAGUUUUAUCCUUUCUAGCUUAUUAACCUGUCCGCAUCUGCAUUAUUAUCUUUUCUGUCAUAGGAAAGUUUAAUUUAUCAUCUUCCCAACAUAAACAUCCGUAGGUCAUUGUUGACUUUUUUUUCCUUUAGAUUCAUGUCAGAUUAUGGUUGCUGGAUUUUCUGCUUUGACACUUAUUGUUUCUAAGUAUAGGCUACCAAGGGAGAAAAAAAUUGACAUUGAUGGUCAUCCCCAGCAUGUUUAUCCCAGGAGACUGGUCAUUCAAUUUCUAUGAAGGACUAUAUAGACAUCCAGACUCUAUUUUGAAGGACAAAGCUGUGGCUGAGCUUGGUUGUGGAAAUGGAUGGAUAACCAUUGCCAUAGCUGAGAAGUGGUUGCCUUUGAAGUUUUGUUGGUUUGUCGUCCUUAUGCCAUGUGAGAGCUUUUAUUUCCUUCCCUACCAGUGCCUUCAGGGGCUCCAUCAUGAUUUCUCUCAUCAUUUUCUAUCUGUGUUUUGCAAGGCCAUUUGAUAUUUAUAACAGCGUUGGCACCAGGUUAUGGUGAUUUAAUGCACUCCUAUUAGGAAAAAUUACAUAAUUAUCAACUCUGUCCUUGUCCAAAAGUCUUUGUUGGAGUAUGUUGAAAGUAUAACCUUGUAGCAGUUCUUUUAUGCUGUCUGAAUAUCCUAUUGCAGUUCUAUGGCCUUGAUAUUAAUCCCAGAGCAAUAAAGAUCUCUUGGAUAAAAUUGUACUUAAAUGCAUUAGAUGAAUCUUUUUCUAAGCUUUUCUGUCACUGUCACUGCAAAAGGUCUUUUGUAUUGAGGGUUAUCUGUGGGGCUAGGAAAGAAGGUCAGCCCAUCUAUGAUGCGGUGAAGAAAACCUUACCGGAUAGGGUGGAGUUUGAUGAAUCUGAUCUCCUAGCGUAUUGUAGACAUCAUGACAUUCAACUUGAAUGAAUAGUGGGGUGCAGACCUCAGGUACUCUCACUUUCUGCAACUCAUGAUAUUUCUAGGGGAUUAAUUUUUGGUGAAGUUUGUUUACCCAACAUCAAGUUGGAAUUUUAGUGUGCCCACAUGGAUUACUUUUAACUCCUAGUUUAACUUAUUCUGUUUUCUCCAUGCAGGUUCUCAACCCCAAUUCCAAUGCAAUGUCGAAAAUAAUUACUGAAAAUGCAAGCGAGGAAUUUCUGUAUUCAUUGAGUAACUAUUGUGGACUGCAGGUUGGAAGAUAUUCUAAAUAAUUUAAUUGUGAUGCGCAAUUGCAAAUUGCCGGGAAGUUAGCAAUUAAGUUGACAGGCUUCUUCUGGUUUCACAUAUUUCCAAGCAUACUUGUUAUAACUUUGGUUUGAAGCUUGCAUACCUUAGGUAAGGUUGAUGUCUUUAGUUGGUCAAUAUCAAUUGGGAAAUAUAGCUAACCAGUGAAGACAGUGGGAAAAGGAUGAUGUGACCUCUUCACAAUGCCAUUGAUUCCCAUAGUUCAUGUUGCUAGGUGAACUUAACAACCAUCUCUUAUGCAUAUCUAAUUUUAUUGUGAUUGGUGUAAUGAUCUGAAAGAUUUCUUUUUUUUUUCCUUGGUUUUAUUUAUUUAUUUCCUCGUGUGACCUCUUCACAAUGCCAUUGAUUCCCAUAGUUCAUGUUGCUAGGUGAACUUAACAACCAUCUAUUAUGCCUUGUGGAUAACUGAGAAAAUUUAUUGCUUUUGACAAAUUGCUUUUUGAAAUAGAGUGCAAGUAGAUUGACCAAUAAUUAGAGAAACUUAGGAAGCAAAAAUGGGGGCAAAGCCGAUGGUUUCAAUACAUUGAGAAGAGAGACAAAGCUCUUAGAUGAAGCCAUGGAAUUGCGGAUGAAGACUGCACAAAUAACUAAUUGAUGAACUUCACAAAUAAGUAAUUGAUGAACUUCACAAAUAAGUAAUUGAUGAAACAUCAUGAUCUUCAAUUUAAAUUUAAAUGCAUUUGUUCUAUUAAUCAUGAAGCAUCUUUUAUUUAUGUUUCAAUAAUUUAAGUAUGUCGCAAUUCUACUGAAUGAUCAAUUCGAGACUUGAACUUCAAGUGUUUUCUUUUUUCCCUCCCCAUUUCCCUGUAUGGAGGGUUUCGUGGACGAUCAGUUUGGCUUAGGUCUAAAUGCUGGAGCAGUUAAGGAAUUACUGUUAUCAAAAUAAAGUUUCCUCUCACUCACUAGCCAGUUGAGCAGCUCGUCACCAGUCGGAUUCAUUGCCGAUUGCAGCCCAUAUCCAUUGCUCAUCACUGUUUGGAUUCGUCAGUUCUGUCAUGUCAGUUCAGUAGAUUGUCGCCGCAGUCAUGAUCGGCCUCUUUGUUGUCGUCGAAGAACCAAUCAAUAAUGAUGAAGAUGAUGUUUUAUGACAAUAAUGAUGAUGAUUGAUGAUGAUGAUGAUGAUUACCAUUGUUGAUGAUUAAUAUUAUCGAUGAUGAUGAUGUAGAUGAUGUAAUUGCGGUGAGAUGAUGAAGAUGAAACUGAAUUGUGAUGUUGAUAAUGAAAUUGACAGAAGGAAGAAGAAGAUAAUUGUGGUGAUGAUGAUGAUGUUGAUGGAGAAGAUGAAAUUGACAUGAUUGAUGAUGAAGUAACGAAGAAUUUGUAAAACAGAGAGAGGGAGAGAGAAAAAGGAGAAGAGGAUAAAAAAGAAAGAAUGAAAAAAACAGGAGAGAAAAUAACAAUAAAAACAAAAGAGGAAAAUAAUUAUUAUUGUUAUUAUUAUUAUUAACAAUAACUUUCUUAAUAACCAUAAUCAUAUAAUAGAUAAUAAAAAUAGUGGUAAUAAUGAACUAAGGGUAUUUUAAUAAUUUAUUGUAAUUUUAAAGUAAAUACAUUAAUGAUAAUAUAAUUUAUUUUAAUUUUGAUUCUUAUAGUUGAAGUAAAUAAUUUAUUUUAAUUUUUUAUUUCACAUUUCAAUUUUAGUCCAUUCCGAAUUAGUAAACGCAUCAUAAAAUCGUGUGAUUCUACUCCUUUAUAUGUGAGAUUGAUUUUUUUUCUUUAAGGCCUACGACAUCCCAAUACGUCUAUAUAUGACCAAGCUACUAAGUGGACGGCCAUUAAAAAGGCAUAAAAUUGAAUGGCCGUCUAAUUAAUUCCCCAUGACAUACAGCAAAAAUUUAAGAAGGAACUCCGAUACCAUCAAUUAUGCAUUUUAAUUUGAAGUUGGAAAAUAGUGAAAACAGAAGGUUCGGAUGAUUUAAUUUUAUACGUAUUUAAUCAAGUAAAAAUGGCACCUGCGUUGUAAUUUGCACAGUUAUCUUACUUUGAAUAAUAACAAAGUUCAAAUUUUGUAUUCAGUGAAAAUCAAAUCUAAAGUGAAAAACAGUAGCUAGAAAAAAAUCUAUGUUCUGAUGUCUUAGUUUAUAAGCUCAAACAAUGAAUAGUAUAGAUACAGCGCAUGAUAGAACACAAAACUCAUGUAGAUUUUUAGUUUCGAAAUUCAUUUCAGAAAAUCUGUUCUGUUCAACAGGUUAAAGUAGAUUAUCAACUAAACUCUACCCACAUACUUGCGUACAAUUAGAGCACUAUGUCAACAAAGGAGCACAUCUUUCGGAAGAUAAUUGAAGACUUGUUUGGCAAUUUGAAGAUUACAUCUUUGCUCUGCCAUUGGAAGUAAGCAACUCAGCUGCCCAAAGACCGCCGUGCCAUCAAGACAAUACCAAGAUACAACAUCAGUAAUAAUAACAUCAAGAAUUACAAAGAGGCCGUCACACGUUACACCCACCCCCAAUAAGAAACUAAUUAAUACCGUCUUAGCUCCUCUGUUUUAAAAGAAAUUUACGCACCCAUGCAGUAGGAAUAAUUAAUUAAUUGUAACUGUUUCUAAAAGUUGAUGAGCCCAAAUAUCCAAUAACUGAUAAAUUGUGUUAAGAAAUAGAAAUAUUAAUAGUACUGAUACAGACGCAUGGAAGUCCCCCCUCUUGAGUUUAUGCUUGUUCUUGUCUGCUUGACAAACAAGACAGAGGUGGACUAAGCAUCAUUGGAUAACUUGGGGGAAAAAUAGUGUCCAGCAAAAAGAAUCCAUCGUUAUGUGCUGCUUCCCAUUUAAUUACAUUUAUCUAACAUUUAAAAGAUGGAAGUAGAAAUUAAAACUCUGUUUUUCAGAUAUGGCUCAUAUACAAUGCAAGUAUCAAGAUUUAAUUAGAGUUCAAUAUACAUGCGUCUAGUUUUUUAUUGAGAGAUAAACUAAUCAUAAAUACUCAGGUGUUUCGAAAUGAUUGAAUAAUGAUAUUAUUGUUAUUUAUAAAUUUAUAAGGAUAAAUAACUGAUAGUCCAUCAUAAAUACCGAAAAGGGUCCCCAGCAUAACUUGAACAACUUUAGUUUGGUUUAGUUUGUGAAAAGUAAUUGAAAGCAACGUAAUUGAAGGAAAUACAAACUUUUGAUUUUGACAAAGUAGUCGUUAAAAUGCUAAAAAUACUGGGACAAUAGAAAAAUAAUGAAGAUCCUAAAAGUUGGUGGAGCAAAUAAACAGAGUAAAACGGAGCAAAUAUUUACCAUUAUACAUAUAUUUUUAUUUUUUUCAAAAAUGAAAGUUGCGAUUUUUUUUUUAGACAAAAGAGACAAAAAAGAAGCACAGUCUGCUAUUACUAGUGUGGCAUGUUAUCUAUUAUAUAAGCACGUGUCUAAUUAUUGUUACCGCCUGCAGUUGUGCUUUCUUUUAUUUAUUUUCCUUUUGUUAUUGAAGUUGUCUUGCAAACUGCUCCAAGCUGAUUACAAAAUUUCCUCUUCCUCUAGGAUCUUUUGAAUGGUCCUGCAAUUUGUAUUCCUUUCUGUGGGAUUGGUUUUUUUUUUUCUUUUAACAGAAUUUUAGGGAUAAGAAACCUUACCCAUUGAAUACCAACUUUGAAUUUUAAUAUUAUUCAAACUUAGAAAACUGCAGAAACAAAGUGCCUUCAUAGCACCAGUUAAACUGUGUCUAGCUACCAUGCUAAUUCCAUUUUUACUUUAUUAAAUAUAUACAGAAUUAAAUCACCUAAGCCUCUAGUUUCACUAGUUUCCAACUUGAAAUUAAAACGUAGAAUUGAUGGUAAUGGAGUUGCCUAUUUAAUUUUGCUGUAGGUCAUGGGCAAUUAGACGGCCAUCCAUUUUUAUGUCUAUUUUAUGCACUAUUGGCCACUAAGUAGCUUGGACAUUUUAUAAGUAGCUUGAAAUAAGUCAAAAUCAAUUACAAGAACAACAAUAAAAGCAUAUUUUAUAAAGGCCACAAAUACAUAAUACAAAUUUAGUUUUGAAUUAUGUAAUUAUUAAUUCAUAUAUUAAGAGAGUCUUAUAGAAAAAAUAGGAGUUUUUUGAAAGAGAUUUGCUAAAGUAAAAAAUUUCGUUUGGUUUAGUUUGUGAUGGCUCAAGUAAUUGAAAGCAAUGCAAGUGAAGGAUACAUGAACUUCUGAUUUUUACAAAGUAAUUGUUAAAAUAUUUGACAAGCUUGAGAUUUUAAAAAGGCUGGGAAAAUAGAAAAACAAUGAAGACCCUACGAGUUGGCAGAGCAGAUAAAUAGAGGAAAACAUGACAAAUAUUCCAAAAAAGAAAUUCGCAUUUUUUUUUUCGAAAAUACGCACAGUCUGCUAUUACUACUACUAUAGAAUGUUAGCUGCUAUAUAUAAGCACCUGUCUAAUUACCAAAUAGAUUCCACUUUGACAAAGAAUAAAAGCUAAUUUCAUUGAUGGCACAUGUUGUGCUAAUUACAAAAUUUUCUCUUACUCCAGGAUCUUUGCAAUGGUCCUGCAGUUUGUAUUCCUUUCUCUGAGAUUGUUUUUUUUUUUUUUCUUUAAAUAAAAUUUUAGGGAUGAGAAACCUUAUCCAUUGAAUAUCAACUUUGAAUUUUAUUAAUAUUCAAACUUAGAAAAAUACAGGAACAAAGUGCAUUAAUAGGAGGUUAAACUAUGUCUGGCUAAAAUGCAAGUUUCAUUUUCACUUAAUUAAAUAUACAAAAUUAAAUCGCAUGAGCCUCUCGUUUUAUUAUACUUCAACUUAAAAUUAAAACGCAGAAUUGACGGUAUUCGAAUUCCUUAUUUAAUUUUGCUGUACUCAUGGGGAAUCAUGGCCUUCCAUUUUUUUUUUUUUACGUCUAUUUUAUGGCCAUCCCCACUAAGUAGCUCGGUCACACACAACAUGCACAUACAUAUAUAUAUUGUGUGUGGGUAUUGGGAUGGCACAGGCCCUAAAAGAUAAAGCUGAACAUCAAUUCCAAAUCUAAAGUGAAAAACAGUAGCUAGAACAGAAUCUUUGUUUUGAUGUCUUUGUUUAUAAGCUCAAACAAUUCAUAGUAUACAGAAAAUGCAUGAUAGAACACAGAACUCAUAUUUUAGCAAUAAUCCUCAGCUCACCGACCUUUAGUUCAGAAUGGCAGUUCUUAUUAGUCAAACAAUCAAAUUAACUUUUAGUUGUAUAUAAGUAGCGCACCAAAUCAACAAAUAAUUGAAGACUUGCUUGGCUAUUGAACCAUACGAUGGCAAUUCGUCAACUAUAACUUAGCUCUGGCAUUCGAAGUAAGCAACUUAGCAUCCCAAAGACUGCCAGGCCAUCAACACAAUACUACCAAGAUACAAGAUCAAUAAUAAUAACAUCAAGAAUUACACUGAUGCUCUCGAAAUAAGGUAUACGAAAUUUUAAUUGUGUAUGCACAAACUAACUUUAUCACUUCUUUCAUAUUAAUACUCAUAAAUUUCAACCUUAUUUUAUGUUGAUGCACAAUCUAACUU